rnacentral:rRNA from 1 species
AUUGAACGCUGGCGGCAGGCCUAACACAUGCAAGUCGAGCGAGCGGCGGACGGGAGAGUAAUGUAUGGGAAACUGCCUGAUGGAGGGGGAUAACUACUGGAAACGGUAGCUAAUACCGCAUACCAUCAGAUGUGCCCAGAUGGGAUUAGCUAGUGGGUGGGGUAAGGGCUCACCUAGGCGACGAUCCCUAGCUGGUCUGAGAGGAUGACCGGCAAAACGGGAACUGAGACACGGCCCAGACUCCUACGGGAGGCAGCAGUGGGGAAUAUUGCACAAUGGGCGCAAGCCUGAUGCAGCCAUGCCGCGGGUGUGAAGAAGGCCUGCGGGUUGUAAAGCACUUUCAGCGAGGAGGCGUUACUCACAGAAGAAGCACCGGCUAACUCCGUGCCAGCAGCCGCGGUAAUUC